rnacentral:rRNA from 1 species
AGUCAUAUGCUUGUCUUAAAGAUUAAGCCAUGCAUGUCUAAGUAUAAAUAGUAUACAGUGAAACUGCGAAUGGCUCAUUAAAACAGUUAUAGUUUACUUGAUAAUCGAAUUUUAUAUGGAUAACCGUAGUAAUUCUAGAGCUAAUACAUGCUGAUACCCGACUUUUUUGGAAGGGUUGUAUUUAUUAGAUAUUAAACCAAUAGCCUUAACGGGCUGCUGUGAUGAUUCAUAAUAACUGAUCGGAGUGAGGCUUGCCUCACUAAAUCAUUCAAGUUUCUGCCCUAUCACUUUGAUGGUAGUGUAUUGGACUACCAUGAGGAUUACGGGUACGAGGAAUUAGGGUUUGAUAUCGGAGAGAGAGCCUGAGAAACGGCUAUCACUUCUAAGGAAGGCAGCAGGCGCGUAAAUUACCCAAUCUCGACUCGGGGAGGUAGUGACAAGAAAUAAUAACUUGGGUACUUCAAUAGUAUCACGAGAUUAAAAUGAGAACAAUCUAAAAAACUUAUCGAGGAACAAUAAGAGGGCAAGUCUGGUGCCAGCAGCCGCGGUAAUUCCAGCUCUUAUAGUGUAUAUUAAAGUUGUUGCAGUUAAAAAGCUCGUAGUCGAUCAUCUAGUAGUCGGCAGCGUGGCUUUUCGUCAUGCUGUAGGCUGCUAUCUGCUCGAGAACUUUUUCGGCCUUCACUGGUCGAAGAUGCUGAUCGGGCGUUUUCCUGAGAAAAAAUUAGAGUGUUCAAAGCAGGCUAAUGCCGUGUAUAUUACAGCUUGGAAUAAUAGAAUAAGACUGAAGUCACUUUUGUUGGUUAUGCGACUUUAGUAAUGGUUAAUAGAAACAGUCGGGGGCAUUAGUAUUUAAUUGUCAGAGGUGAAAUUCUAUGAUUUAUUAAAGACUAACUUAUGCGAAAGCAUUUGCCAAGGAUGUUUUCAAUUGAUCAAGAACGAAAGUUAGGGGAUCAAAGACGAUCAGAUACCGUCCUAGUCUUAACUAUAAACGAUUCCGACUCUGGAUUGGAGGGGUCUUACGAGCCCUUUCAGCACAGUAUGAGAAAUCAAAGUCUUUGGGUUCUGGGGGAAGUAUGGACACAAGUCUGAAACUUAAAGGAAUUGACGGAAGGGCACACAAGGUGUGGAGCCUGCGGCUUAAUUUGACUCAACACGGGGAAACUCACCAGGGCAAGACAUGAGUAGGAUUGACUGAUUGAGAGCUCAUUCUUAAUUGUAUGGGUGGUGGUGCAUGGCCGUUCUUAGUUGGUGGAGUGAUUUGUCUGGUUAAUUCCGUUAACGAACGAGACCUUAACCUGCUAAACUAGGAGUCGGAUGUUUAAUCCGGCAUCCUUCUUAGAGGGACUAAGUGUUCAAGCACAAGGAAGUUUGAGGCAAUAACAGGUCAGUGAUGCCCCUAGACGCUCUGGGCCGCACGCGCGCUACAAUGUUGCGUAUCAGCAAGUUUCUUCCUGGUUCUGACGAAUUCGGGUAAUCUGUAGUACGCAACGUGCUUUGGGAUCGUGCUUUGCAAUUAUAGGACUUGAACUAGGAAUACCUAGUAUAGGUAAGUCAUCAGCUUACCUAGACUACGUCCUUGCCCUUUGUACACACCGCCCGUCGCUCCUACCGAUUGAGUGAUUCGGUGAACCUUCUGGAUGAGACUAACCUCCAGGCUAGCCUCAGAAGUUAAGUAAACCAUUAUCACUUAGAGGAAGGAGAAGUCGUAACAAGGUUUCUGCGG